AGUGAACGCUGGCGGUAGGCCUAACACAUGCAAGUCGAACGGCAGCACAGGAGAGCUUGCUCUCUGGGUGGCGAGUGGCGGACGGGUGAGGAAUACAUCGGAAUCUACCUUUUCGUGGGGGAUAACGUAGGGAAACUUACGCUAAUACCGCAUACGACAUACGGGUGAAAGUGGGGGACCGCAAGGCCUCACGCGAUGAGAUGAGCCGCUGUCCGAUUAGCUAGGUGGCGGGGUAAUGGCCCACCAAGGCGACGAUCGGUAGCUGGGUUGAGAGGAUGAUCAGCCACCCUGGAACUGAGACACGGUCCAGACUCCUACGGGAGGCAGCAGUGGGGAAUAUUGGACAAUGGGCGCAAGCCUGAUCCAGCCAUACCGCGUGGGUGAAGAAGGCCUUCGGGUUGUAAAGCCCUUUUGUUGGGAAAGAAAUCCUGUCGAUUAAUACUCGGUGGGGAUGACGGUACCCAAAGAAUAAGCACCGGCUAACUUCGUGCCAGCAGCCGCCGCCGUAA
rnacentral:rRNA from 1 species